GUCACUGUCCAAUGGCAGGAGGCGCCUCUGACUCCGCCCUCUCCUGGUGGGCGGACCUGGACAGCCACUGGUCCAGAGGACAGCCCCCUAGCUAAAUGGUACACCUCAGAAAUAAAGUCAGCUCCUCAGAGUUCCUUUUAGCACCUCCAGCCGCCAAGUUCCCGCCGCCUCUGCUUCCUCUCCCAUUGUGUGUUUAGUAGAGCACGUGCUGUCAUCACCUGCCUUUGAAGCGGAUUCAACCAUUAGCAGCUUCUCCGCGUUUCUAUAAAUAUUUAAACCACCAGCACUCAGUAAUCACCACUGUAUGAAAUUAGGAUGGAUCAGAGGGUGCUGCCUACCAGAGUCCUUAAGCAGUGAAAGUCUCCCUUCCCGGUUUCUGAGAAACAGAACAUGUGGGAGCCGCCGACUUGAAGGAUGCCAUGCCGGCGUUGGGCGCAUGGGACAAAUCUGCUUCGAUGUUCCCUUUGCCAGCAGCAGCCAUCCUCAGAAAUAGAGUUCUGAUAACCACAGGGCAGUCGCUGCCAGGAAUAGGAAGCCCUUCACCUGUGAGUCAAAGCCAUACCUCCUGUCCUCUGUGCACUGGCUACUGGGGUUGACCGUUCGACUGAGCAGGGGUCGCCUGCUCCGAGACUGCACAGUGAAACUUGAAGUCAAGCUCUAGAGAGCGAGCGCACUGCUGAGUCAGAUGGCAUCCAAUGGGGCGCUGUGCCUGCAAUUCCUAGAAUCCAAACACAAAAGGAUAAGGCUGAUCUGGAUACUCGGGGUGCUCUGCAGCACCCAUGUCCAUAGGGAGGACCAGACUGAGUCACAUGAUCAGAAGGACACAGAAAGGCAGAAGCCAGGCUCAGGAUUGAUGGCCAAUGGGAUGUUGAUAAGGGCACCAAAGGCUUGAGAACUGUUGGA